rnacentral:ncRNA from 1 species
GGUUUGCCCCCGGUAAACGGUUGCCCCUUAGAAGAUACCUUUCUUCUAUCAGGCAUUAAUAGGGAAUCCGGUUCAAUUCCGGAGCUAUCCCCGUAGCUGUGAUCCUGCAUCCUUAUCUUUCUCCAUAAGGAAUGUUUUCCGGACUCUUUCAACCACUUCCCGUAACGGGAGGGAAGGUCAAUCCGGGAAGCAGGAAAGCCAGAAGACCUGCCGUAUACCUAUUUUAUCA